rnacentral:rRNA from 1 species
ACCUACGGGACGCAGCAGUAGGGAAUCUUCCACAAUGGGCGCAUGCCUGAUGGAGCAACACCGCGUGAGUGAAGAAGGGUUUCGGCUCGUAAAGCUCUGUUGUUGGAGAAGAACGUGCGUGAGAGUAACUGUUCAUGCAGUGACGGUAUCCAACCAGAAAGUCACGGCUAACUACGUGCCAGCAGCCGCGGUAAUACGUAGGGGGCAAGCGUUAUCCGGGUUUAUUGGGCGAAAAGCGAGCGCAGGCGGUUGCUU